AGAGUUUGAUCCUGGCUCAGGAUGAACGCUGGCGGCGUGCCUAAUACAUGCAAGUCGAGCGAACGGACGAGAAGCUUGCUUCUCUGAUGUUAGCGGCGGACGGGUGAGUAACACGUGGAUAACCUACCUAUAAGACUGGGAUAACUUCGGGAAACCGGAGCUAAUACCGGAUAAUAUUUUGAACCGCAUGGUUCAAAAGUGAAAGACGGUCUUGCUGUCACUUAUAGAUGGAUCCGCGCUGCAUUAGCUAGUUGGUAAGGUAACGGCUUACCAAGGCAACGAUGCAUAGCCGACCUGAGAGGGUGAUCGGCCACACUGGAACUGAGACACGGUCCAGACUCCUACGGGAGGCAGCAGUAGGGAAUCUUCCGCAAUGGGCGAAAGCCUGACGGAGCAACGCCGCGUGAGUGAUGAAGGUCUUCGGAUCGUAAAACUCUGUUAUUAGGGAAGAACAUAUGUGUAAGUAACUGUGCACAUCUUGACGGUACCUAAUCAGAAAGCCACGGCUAACUACGUGCCAGCAGCCGCGGUAAUACGUAGGUGGCAAGCGUUAUCCGGAAUUAUUGGGCGUAAAGCGCGCGUAGGCGGUUUUUUAAGUCUGAUGUGAAAGCCCACGGCUCAACCGUGGAGGGUCAUUGGAAACUGGAAAACUUGAGUGCAGAAGAGGAAAGUGGAAUUCCAUGUGUAGCGGUGAAAUGCGCAGAGAUAUGGAGGAACACCAGUGGCGAAGGCGACUUUCUGGUCUGUAACUGACGCUGAUGUGCGAAAGCGUGGGGAUCAAACAGGAUUAGAUACCCUGGUAGUCCACGCCGUAAACGAUGAGUGCUAAGUGUUAGGGGGUUUCCGCCCCUUAGUGCUGCAGCUAACGCAUUAAGCACUCCGCCUGGGGAGUACGACCGCAAGGUUGAAACUCAAAGGAAUUGACGGGGACCCGCUCAAGCGGUGGAGCAUGUGGUUUAAUUCGAAGCAACGCGAAGAACCUUACCAAAUCUUGACAUCCUUUGACAACUCUAGAGAUAGAGCCUUCCCCUUCGGGGGACAAAGUGACAGGUGGUGCAUGGUUGUCGUCAGCUCGUGUCGUGAGAUGUUGGGUUAAGUCCCGCAACGAGCGCAACCCUUAAGCUUAGUUGCCAUCAUUAAGUUGGGCACUCUAAGUUGACUGCCGGUGACAAACCGGAGGAAGGUGGGGAUGACGUCAAAUCAUCAUGCCCCUUAUGAUUUGGGCUACACACGUGCUACAAUGGACAAUACAAAGGGCAGCGAAACCGCGAGGUCAAGCAAAUCCCAUAAAGUUGUUCUCAGUUCGGAUUGUAGUCUGCAACUCGACUACAUGAAGCUGGAAUCGCUAGUAAUCGUAGAUCAGCAUGCUACGGUGAAUACGUUCCCGGGUCUUGUACACACCGCCCGUCACACCACGAGAGUUUGUAACACCCGAAGCCGGUGGAGUAACCUUUUAGGAGCUAGCCGUCGAAGGUGGGACAAAUGAUUGGGGUGAAGUCGUAACAAGGUAGCCGUAUCGGAAGGUGCGGCUGGAUCACCU
rnacentral:rRNA from 1 species